rnacentral:rRNA from 1 species
UAUGUGAUCGUCUCUCGCAUAUCAAUAAGCGGAGGAAAAGAAACUAACAAGGAUUCCCCUAGUAACGGCGAGUGAAGCGGGAAGAGCUCAAAUUUGAAAUCUUAAAGGGUUUCCCUUUACGAAUUGUAGUUUAAAGAAGUGUUUUCCUGUUGAGGUUUUGGUAAAAGUUCUUUGGAAUAGGACAUCAUAGAGGGUGAGAAUCCCGUAUUUGACCUUUACUUUCAACUUUGUGAUACACUUUCAAAGAGUCGGAUUGUUUGGGAAUGCAGUCCAAAAUGGGUGGUAAAUUUCAUCUAAAGCUAAAUAUUGGCGAGAGACCGAUAGCGAACAAGUACCGUGAGGGAAAGAUGAAAAGAACUUUGAAAAGAGAGUUAAACAGUACGUGAAAUUGUCAAAAGGGAAGCGUUUGACACCAGUGUUGUUUUUCUGAAGAUCAAUUAAAGAACUGUUUAUGCUAAGCUGUUUAGACUUUAUCAGCUAAUCUGUUUAGUUUUGAGCUUUUCUUUAAUGCACUUUUCAGUUAACAAGUCAACAUCAAUUUCUUUUGCUGUAAAAAAGCUUGAGGAAGGUGGCUUGAGAUUCGUCUUAAGUGUUUAUAGCCUCUUGCCUAUGCAGUCGGAGAGAUUGAGGUCUGCAGCGUAGAUCCUUCGGGGCUAAAUGCAUUUGUGCUAAGUUAUAGCAUUUUAUAGACAACUUGUUGACUAUGAUUUGUCUUGUAGCUUACUCGCUUAUGUUAUUUUACCUACGCUUAGGAUGUUGAUAUGCAUGACUGAUAU